rnacentral:rRNA from 1 species
CGGGUACUCGAGUGGCGAACGGGUGAGUAACACGUGGGUGAUCUGCCUUGCACUUCGGGAUAAGCCUGGGAAACUGGGUCUAAUACCGGAUAGGACCAUGCUUUAGUGUGUGUGGUGGAAAGUUUUUCGGUGCAAGAUGAGCCCGCGGCCUAUCAGCUUGUUGGUGGGGUAAUGGCCUACCAAGGCGACGACGGGUAGCCGGCCUGAGAGGGUGUACGGCCACAUUGGGACUGAGACACGGCCCAG